GCAGGCGGGAUUGUAGUUUCCAGUAUGGUAGCUUAGUUGAUUUGGUAGAUGGACAUACAUUAGUACUUUAUCAUAGGCUUCGGCUACUGGUUCCCAGUGUAUACAUGAAGAUUUGGUCUAAGCUUCAAAGAGUACGUACAUCUUGCAAACCCUCAUUGAAGGCUCAUUGAACUUCUAGAAAGACUUGAAUGCAUUUCUGUCUAUUUUGAAAUUGUUAUCAAGGAUGGAUAUUAACAUCUCUAUAUUUUAGAUUUGCGAAUGUAGUAUUUCAAGAUGGAGAUAUUGAUAACUGGUUUUAGAGUACAUUUCACUUUC